rnacentral:rRNA from 1 species
UACGUAGGGGGCAAGCGUUGUCCGGAAUUAUUGGGCGUAAAGAGCGCGUAGGCGGUCCGAUAAGUCGGCUGUGAAAGUCAAGGGCUCAACCCUUGAAAGCCGGCCGAUACUGUCGGACUAGAGUCCGGAAGAGGCGAGUGGAAUUCCCAGUGUAGCGGUGAAAUGCGUAGAUAUUGGGAGGAACACCAGUGGCGAAGGCGGCUCACUGGACUGGUACUGACGCUGAGGCGCGAAAGCGUGGGGAGCAAACGGG